rnacentral:rRNA from 1 species
UUUUUUUGGGCGGGUUUUUAGGGUUUGAAAUCAUGGCUCAGAUUGAACGCUGGCGGCAGGCCUAACACAUGCAAGUCGAGCGGUAGAGAGAAGCUUGCUUCUCUUGAGAGCGGCGGACGGGUGAGUAAUGCCUAGGAAUCUGCCUGGUAGUGGGGGAUAACGCUCGGAAACGGACGCUAAUACCGCAUACGUCCUACGGGAGAAAGCAGGGGACCUUCGGGCCUUGCGCUAUCAGAUGAGCCUAGGUCGGAUUAGCUAGUUGGUGAGGUAAUGGCUCACCAAGGCGACGAUCCGUAACUGGUCUGAGAGGAUGAUCAGUCACACUGGAACUGAGACACGGUCCAGACUCCUACGGGAGGCAGCAGUGGGGAAUAUUGGACAAUGGGCGAAAGCCUGAUCCAGCCAUGCCGCGUGUGUGAAGAAGGUCUUCGGAUUGUAAAGCACUUUAAGUUGGGAGGAAGGGCAGUUACCUAAUACGUAUCUGUUUUGACGUUACCGACAGAAUAAGCACCGGCUAACUCUGUGCCAGCAGCCGCGGUAAUACAGAGGGUGCAAGCGUUAAUCGGAAUUACUGGGCGUAAAGCGCGCGUAGGUGGUUUGUUAAGUUGGAUGUGAAAUCCCCGGGCUCAACCUGGGAACUGCAUUCAAAACUGACAAGCUAGAGUAUGGUAGAGGGUGGUGGAAUUUCCUGUGUAGCGGUGAAAUGCGUAGAUAUAGGAAGGAACACCAGUGGCGAAGGCGACCACCUGGACUGAUACUGACACUGAGGUGCGAAAGCGUGGGGAGCAAACAGGAUUAGAUACCCUGGUAGUCCACGCCGUAAACGAUGUCAACUAGCCGUUGGGAGCCUUGAGCUCUUAGUGGCGCAGCUAACGCAUUAAGUGACCGCCUGGAGUCGCGACGGG